CAGCAGCCGCGGUAAAACCAGCACCUCGAGUGGUCAGGAGGUUUAUUGGGCCUAAAACAUCCGUAGCUGGUUGCAUAAGUUUUCGGUUAAAUCUAUGUGCUUAACGUAUAGGCCGCCGAAAAUACUGUGCAGCUAGGGAGUGGGAGAGGUACACGGUACUCGGUAGGAAGGGGUAAAAUCCUUUGAUCUAUUGAUGACCACCUGUGGCGAAGGCGGUGUACCAGAACACGUUCGACGGUGAGGGAUGAAAGCUGGGGGAGCAAACCGGAUUAGAUACCCGGGUAGUCCCUGUCUCUUAUAC
rnacentral:rRNA from 1 species